GAUGAACGCUAGCUACAGGCUUAACACAUGCAAGUCGAGGGGAAACGACAUCGAAAGCUUGCUUUUGAUGGGCGUCGACCGGCGCACGGGUGAGUAACGCGUAUCCAACCUGCCCACCACUUGGGGAUAACCUUGCGAAAGUAAGACUAAUACCCAAUGAUAUCUCUAGAAGACAUCUGAAAGAGAUUAAAGAUUUAUCGGUGAUGGAUGGGGAUGCGUCUGAUUAGCUUGUUGGCGGGGUAACGGCCCACCAAGGCAACGAUCAGUAGGGGUUCUGAGAGGAAGGUCCCCCACAUUGGAACUGAGGCACGGUCCAAACUCCUACGGGAGGCAGCAGUGAGGAAUAUUGGUCAAUGGACGAGAGUCUGAACCAGCCAAGUAGCGUGCAGGAAGACGGCCCUAUGGGUUGUAAACUGCUUUUAUAAGGGAAUAAAGUGAGUCUCGUGAGACUUUUUGCAUGUACCUUAUGAAUAAGGACCGGCUAAUUCCGU
rnacentral:rRNA from 1 species